AGAGAGAGGGAGCUUGCUUCCUCAAUCGAGUGGCGAACGGGUGAGUAACGCGUGAGGAACCUGCCUCAAAGAGGGGGGACAACAGUUGGAAACGACUGCUAAUACCGCAUAAGCCCACGGUGCCGCAUGGCACGGAGGGAAAAGGAGCAAUCCGCUUUGAGAUGGCCUCGCGUCCGAUUAGCUAGUUGGUGAGGUAACGGCCCACCAAGGCGACGAUCCAUAGCCGGCCUGAGAGGAUGGACGGCCACAUUGGGACUGAGACACGGCCCAAACUCC
rnacentral:rRNA from 1 species